UAUCUCUGUAGAGUCUGCAUAUCAAUAAGCGGAGGAAAAGAAACUAACAAGGAUUCCCUUAGUAACGGCGAGUGAAGCGGGAAGAGCUCAAAUUUGAAAUCUUCAAGGUUCUACCUUGACGAAUUGUAGUUUAUAGAAGUGUUUUCUGUUAGUGGAGUGGCAAAAGUUCUUUGGAAUAGGACAUCAUAGAGGGUGAGAAUCCCGUAUUUGGUCAUUCCUUCUAGCGUUGUGAUACACUUUCAAAGAGUCGGAUUGUUUGGGAAUGCAGUCCAAAAUGGGUGGUAAAUUUCAUCUAAAGCUAAAUAUUGGCGAGAGACCGAUAGCGAACAAGUACCGUGAGGGAAAGAUGAAAAGAACUUUGAAAAGAGAGUUAAACAGUACGUGAAAUUGUCAAAAGGGAAGCGUUUGACACCAGUGUUGCUUUUCCGAAAAUCAAUUACGAAUGUUUUGUUUUUGAGGAGUUAUGACUUCAUCGGCUUGCUUCUCUCUUUACGAAACUUUCUUAAUGCACUUUUCGGUUAACAAGUCAACAUCAAUUUCUUUUGUUGUAAAAGGGUAUGAGGAAGGUGGCUUUCUUUUCGGAGAAAGUGUUUAUAGCCUUGUACCUCUGCAAUCGGAGAGAUUGAGGUCUGCAGCGUAGAUCCUUCGGGGUUAGAUACAUUUGUGCUAAGUUAUAGCCUUUCAUAGACAACUUGUUGACUAUGAUCAGUCAUGUAGCUUACUCGCUUAUGUCAUUUUACCUACGCUUAGGAUGUUGAUAUGCAUGACUGAUAU
rnacentral:rRNA from 1 species